CGCGUAGGCGGGCAGUCAAGUCCGGGGUGAAAUCUUUCGGCUCAACCGGAAAAGUGCCUUGGAUACUGAUUGUCUAGAGGGAGAUAGGGGUAUGUGGAACUUCCGGUGGAGCGGUGAAAUGCGUUGAUAUCGGAAGGAACGCCGGUGGCGAAAGCGACGUACUGGAUCUCUUCUGACGCUGAGGCGCGAAAGCCAGGGGAGCGAACGGGAUUAGAUACCCCGGUAGUCCUGGCCCUAAACGAUGGGUACUAGAUAGUAGACUUUCAUGGGUUUACUGUCGAAGCAAAAGUGGUAAGUACCCCGCCUGGGGAGUAUGGUCGCAAGGCUGAA
rnacentral:rRNA from 1 species